CGUGCUGGGUAGGGGAGCGUUGUGUAAGUGGAUGAAGGUGAGUUGUAAAGCUUGCUGGACAUAUCACAAGUGCGAAUGCUGACAUGAGUAACGAUAAUGGGUGUGAAAAACACCCACGCCGAAAGACCAAGGUUUCCUGCGCAACGUUAAUCGACGCAGGGUUAGUCGGUCCCUAAGGCGAGGCUGAAAAGCGUAGUCGAUGGAAAACAGGUUAAUAUUCCUGUACUUCUGGUUAUUGCGAUGGAGGGACGGAGAAGGCUAGGCCAGCACGGCGUUGGUUG
rnacentral:rRNA from 1 species